CUGGGAUGAUGUAGCUUAGCCAAAUCAGACACCAUUCAUGUGCUCCUUAAGGCAUUUUGUCUUUAAAGCUUGAAUUUUUAUGGGUAUUGUAGAGGCACAUUAAUGGUUUCUUGUGUACCCUUUUUCAAGCUCUAGA